rnacentral:lncRNA from 1 species
GACAAACAAUCAUGUUUAUGCAGAAUGGAGGUCACAGGUGUUGGCUCAGAUUGUUUUUCCUUUAAUAAGUCAUUGGUGAGUUCACAAUGAAAAGGGUAUUGAGCUUAGCGUCUAGGUGCCUGAGUGUCAUAGGUGAAAGGUCAUUAGUGAGGUGCUUAUGGCCCUUGCACCAGCUUGACCUCCUUGCUUUUUUAGUGUUGUGAAUAUUCCAAAGUGAAAAUGAUAUGACAGAAGAGAAAAGUUGAUUAUGUUAAAUACUAUUUUAUUUCUCUCCUUGUCCUCCCCUUCUCUCUUUCUGUCCUCCUCCUUUCUCUCCUCCCCCUCUCUCUUUCUCGCCUCUCUCUUUCUCUCCUCCCCCUUUCUCUUUCUGUCUUCCUCCUCGCCCUCUCUCUUUCUAUACCCUGAUGAAGACAGCUUGAGUGUCGAAAUGUGAUGCUUCCUACAGGAGCAGCAUUUCGGUGGUUCCAGUAAGACUCUGACCCUCCACUCUAACCCUUACCUACACAAACCCAAAGCUCUGCGAUCAAGUGCAAUGCCAACUCUCGCUUCGAUUGUAUCGGGCAUGGACACUGGCUGACAAGAAAACUUACAACAAAUAAAAAGAUAUAAAAAAAAAUUACGAAACAGGAAUGAUACAAAAUAAUCAACUGAGUAAUGGAUGCACCUAAUUAUUCCUUGAACCAAAAAUUAAAUAUAAAGAAAAUAAUCUAUGGCAACUUUCAUUCAUUCCCUUUUCUAUGUUCCCAUUUUGGUACAUUUUGUCCUGUUUCCAGCAGGUCUUUUCUGUCGCUCAGACAUGGAACUGUUCAUUGCUAAACAGAAAUGACUGACUGAGUGUGGACAAUCAACACAUGUCUGUGUUUGGUGUUAAUGUUGUUCACAUGUGGAAAGAUACAGUACUUGUGUAGAGAAUGUACAUUUAUGGCUAUAUUUUAAAACUAGUGGCUAAUGGCAGGCACUAUUGUAAUUUAGCACCAUUGUUCUUAUCUAAACCCUUGUCUAUUUUAUGAUUUAUAUUGUUGCAAGAAUAUAGUUUGAAACGGAUCAAUGGUUGUCUUUUAAAAGAAAAAGGAAAUGUUUCAAAAUGUAAAAAUCCAGAUUUCUGAUUCAAAUGAAAAAGCAACUCUCAUCCUAUGGGGCAGAAGUCUAGGGGACUCUUUAGCAGGAUGAUCCUAACCUCCAGAGAACUCACUGGAAUCUCCCCAACCAACCAACCAACCAACCAACCAACCAACCGUGUUUUCCUCGCCUGUAUUUCCAAGCUUUUUAUUUAGUGAAACUGGCAGCCUUACGUUCCUAUGGCCCUAGCGACUGUGUCUGGCAUGAGGAGGACAGAGGGCGACAUCACUAGGAGGCACUUGUUCUGAGUCUACCCAUUUGAACGCACUGAAACAUGAAUUUAUUUGUAUUUUUUAUUUGUUAAUUUUUUUAAAUUAUGUUGCUGGUAGCUACAUCUUUUAAAAACAACAGCGAUGUUUGUAUUCAUUUAGAAAAUUGGACUGGUUUUGUGAAUAAAAACGAAUGCAUGUAUUUGUGUAAAAAUUUACAGUUCUGAUGUUUGUCUACUUGUCUUUGCAUGUUUUUUUCCCCUAAAACAGCGGGUGAAGUAUGAAAAUGUCCGGUAAAUCUUUCAAAUUUGUUCCCUUUUCAUAUCAUUGGAUGCUAUAAUUUAAAAAAAAAAUAUUGGGCGAGAAAUACAAAUCAUUAAAGCAGAAGGAGGAAAUGGUGUGUUUCAUUCAGAUGUUUCCUGUUGCUCUAGCAUAGAUACCCAAUACAAACAACACUGGUAGUGACAGGGUAGGAACCAAAGUUUUGGUGAGUGUUUCCCAGUGUUUCCCAGGGGGCCCUAAUUAGUGUUCCUCAUGAAAGAGUGUUGUACUUGAAGGUUCUAUGUAGAGAUAGUGUGGAGUUGUUGCAAUGGGUAGAUUGAUGUACAGGUAACUGCCAAAAUAAAGGAUACAUCAACAUAAAGUGUCUUAAUUGGGCGUUGGGCCAGAACAGCUUCAGUGCACCUUGGCAUAGUAGAGUCUACAAGUGUCUGGAACUCUGUUGGAGGGAUGCAACACCAUUCUUCCACGAGAAAUUCCAUAAUUUGUUUUUUUGUUGAUGGUGGUGGAAAACACUGUUUCAGGUGCUGCUCCAGAAUCUCCCAUUAGUGUUCAAUUGGGUUGAGAUCUGGUGACUGAUACACUCGUGCCCUGUGGAUGGGGGCAUUGUCAUCCUAUAGCCAUGGUAGACAAAAUAAUGGCCUGCCCAGAAUUUGUUUACAUGACCCUAAGCAUGAUGGGAUGUUAAUUGCUUAAUUAACUCGGGAACCAUACCUGUGUGGAAUCACCUGCUUUCAAUAAACUUUGUAUUCCUCAUUUACUCAAGUAUUUCCAUUAUUUUGGCAGAUACCUGUGGCAUUGUAAUGUUAAAGUGAAACCAAACCAACAUCAAAAUGGAGAAUAUAGGAAAGGAAUCUAUCUGGAAUGUGUUGUAUAUCCUCCAAAUCUAUGGAGUCACUUCCUCCACCCUCCUCAAAUGUCCUGCUCCCCAUGUAAAAACAAAACACAAUUAGAAAGCUAUGAAUAAUGAAUAUUUCCUCAAUAUUGCUGAAUUACAGUGUUGUCCUCAAAGCCACAAAGGAGAGGGCUGUUUAAGAGUAAAGGGAAGCUUUUUGGAUGUCAGGACUCAGGCCCCCACUCUGGUGACACACAUGGUCCUGUGACAUUUAUCUAACGCAAGCUCUUUAUGAGACCUUGUCCUCUAAAAGAAC